rnacentral:rRNA from 1 species
CAGCAGCCGCGGGAAUACGAAGGGGGCUAGCGUUGCUCGGAAUGACUGGGCGUAAAGGGCGCGUAGGCGGCGGCCAAAGUCAGGCGUGAAAUUCCUGGGCUCAACCUGGGGGCUGCGCUUGAUACUUGGUUGCUUGAGUGGGGAAGAGGGUCGUGGAAUUCCCAGUGUAGAGGUGAAAUUCGUAGAUAUUGGGAAGAACACCGGUGGCGAAGGCGGCGACCUGGUCCUUGACUGACGCUGAGGCGCGAAAGCGUGGGGAGCAAACAGGAUUAGAUACCCCAGUAGUCCCUGUCUCUUAUAC